rnacentral:rRNA from 1 species
AGAGUUUGAUCAUGGCUCAGGACGAACGCUGGCGGCGUGCCUAACACAUGCAAGUCGAACGGAACUUUUUCAGAAGAUUCUUUCGGGAUGAUUUUGGUUAAGUUUAGUGGCGGACGGGUGAGUAACGCGUGAGUAACCUGCCUUUGAGAGGGGAAUAACAAUCUGAAAAGAUUGCUAAUACCGCAUAACAUAUACGAAUCGCAUGGUUUGUAUAUCAAAGAUUUUAUCGCUCAGAGAUGGACUCGCGUCCGAUUAGUUAGUUGGUGAGGUAACGGCUCACCAAGACCGCGAUCGGUAGCCGGACUGAGAGGUUGAACGGCCACAUUGGGACUGAGACACGGCCCAGACUCCUACGGGAGGCAGCAGUGGGGGAUAUUGCGCAAUGGGGGCAACCCUGACGCAGCAACGCCGCGUGAAGGAUGAAGGUUUUCGGAUUGUAAACUUCUUUUAUUAAGGACGAAAAAUGACGGUACUUAAUGAAUAAGCUCCGGCUAACUACGUGCCAGCAGCCGCGGUAAUACGUAGGGAGCAAGCGUUGUCCGGAUUUACUGGGUGUAAAGGGUGCGUAGGCGGCUUUGCAAGUCAGAUGUGAAAUCUAUGGGCUCAACCCAUAAACUGCAUUUGAAACUGUAGAGCUUGAGUGAAGUAGAGGCAGGCGGAAUUCCCCGUGUAGCGGUGAAAUGCGUAGAGAUGGGGAGGAACACCAGUGGCGAAGGCGGCCUGCUGGGCUUUAACUGACGCUGAGGCACGAAAGCGUGGGUAGCAAACAGGAUUAGAUACCCUGGUAGUCCACGCUGUAAACGAUGAUUACUAGGUGUGGGGGGUCUGCACCCCU